GUCUCUAGAACCAGAAAAAUCGUUCUGUGUAAAUACUGAACAUAUGGUGAAGGGAGUUGUCGGAAUCUAUGAUAGAAAAGCUGACCUUCCUGAUUCUCUUGCAUGGACAUAAACAGAAUGGCUAUAGACACAUCUAUGGUGAAAGAUAUAAACAUCAAGAGUGGCGGUGAAGAAAUAUUUCCUGAGGAUACUGGCAGUCAAAGUUGUUCAGAAAUCAACUUGUGUCUGUUCGUCCAUCUGGUGUGAUGUUUUUCCUCAAUAAAGGUCAGCGGUGGCUGGGCUCUUGGAAG
rnacentral:lncRNA from 1 species